GAAUUCGAUUAACGCGAAGAACCUUACCUGGGCUUGAACCGCACAGGACCAUCUUUGGAAACAGAGACUUCCCGCAAGGGACCUGUGUAGAGGUGCUGCAUGGCUGUCGUCAGCUCGUGCCGUGAGGUGUUGGGUUAAGUCCCGCAACGAGCGCAACCCUUACUCUUAGUUGCCACCCGCAAGGGGGAACUCUAAGAGGACUGCUCCGGAUAACGGAGAGGAAGGUGGGGAUGAGGUCAAGUCAGCAUGGCCUUUAUGUCCAGGGCAACACACGUGUUACAAUGCGCGCCACAAAGCGUUGCAAACCCGCGAGGGGGAGCUAAUCGCAAAAAGCCGGCCUCAGUUCGGAUUGGAGUCUGCAACUCGACUCCAUGAAGCUGGAAUCGCUAGUAAUCGCAGAUCAGAACGCCGCGGUGAAUACGUUCCCGGGCCUUGUCACACCGAAUCACUA
rnacentral:rRNA from 1 species